rnacentral:rRNA from 1 species
UACGUAGGGUGCGAGCGUUGUCCGGAAUUAUUGGGCGUAAAGAGCUUGUAGGCGGUUUGUCGCGUCUGCUGUGAAAAUCCGAGGCUCAACCUCGGACUUGCAGUGGGUACGGGCAGACUAGAGUGUGGUAGGGGAGACUGGAAUUCCUGGUGUAGCGGUGAAAUGCGCAGAUAUCAGGAGGAACACCGAUGGCGAAGGCAGGUCUCUGGGCCACUACUGACGCUGAGACGCGAAAGCGUGGGGAGCAAACAGG